rnacentral:lncRNA from 1 species
CGUGGAUGUCUGCGUCUCUGAUUGGUCGCUGAGCUUGGCUGACAACACCUGCUUGACUCCAUCUAAAUUGACGACCCGCCCGGGCUCUGGGAAAUAUAGGCAGCAUCCCUGCGGUCCCAGCGCUCACUCUCUCUUUCUGUCUCACUCUCUGAGCUGCCCGCCUGAAUACAGUCUACAGCCGUGAGUGCAACUGAGUUACCACAGACAGACAGAGAGCAGACUGGCUGGUUGGACCGGCGCGUUUCCGAUACAACACUGCAUCAUUGUCUCAGAGCAGAGGGAAGGCAGACUUUAGCACAGGUACAUACUGGUCUUCACAGAUAGAGGCAGACAUGUUGUUUAAAUUUGCAAUAGUGUUGCUGGUUUUGUCAGUUUUGGAGCAAGUGGUGGGAUUGGAUAAUAUUGAUGUUCAUGACAACCCGUCAGAGAAACCGGCAAGCCAGAAAGGACGGAUGUCUCUGCAGAACACAGCUGAGAUCCAGCACUGUCUUGUGAGUGCAGGAGACGUGGGCUGCGGUGUGUUUGAGUGUUUUGAGAACAACUCCUGUGAGAUCAGAGGCCUGCAGGAGAUCUGUCUGACCUUCCUACACAACGCCGGAAAGUUCGACUCCCAGGGUAAGUCGUUCAUCAAGGAUGCUCUGAAGUGCAUGGCCCACGGCUUGAGACACAAGUUCAGCUGCAUCAGCAGGAAGUGCCUGGCCAUUAAAGAGAUGGUUUUCCAGCUGCAGAGAGAGUGUUACCUCAAACACAACCUGUGUUCUGCAGCCAAGGAGAAUGUUGCUGUCAUGGUGGAGAUGAUCCACUUCCAGGACCUCUUCCCUAAAGGGCCGUAUGUGGAGCUGGUCAACAUCCUACUGAGCUGUGGGGAGGAGGUGAAGGAGGCCUUAACCAGAAGCGUCCGGCUGCAGUGUGAGCAGAACUGGGGGGCUCUCUGUGACAGCCUGAGUGUCUGCUCUUCCCUCACCCCCCCUCCCGGUCAGGCCCCCGCCUCCCCCGACCACCGCCGCCACAGGUCCCCCCACUCCGAGCCAGACCACCCCAGACCCCCCCGACAGGGGGACAAGGACAAGCCCAGUAAAGGCGGCUUCAACGCCCACCCCCGCAGCCGCAGCCAGGGUCCCCGUCGACAGAGCCCCGAGGCUGGGGUGGUGGCGGAGCAGGAAGGCCCUGAGGCCACAGACAUCCGGAGGUGAAAGAAACAUUGGACCCAAACUAUCCAGAGCUCUCCCUGACUGUGUCACCAUCAUAGCCCCCCCCCCCCCGCACACACACACACACACAUACACACACACACACACACACAGACAGACAUACACAUAGACAGAUACUGUACAUGCAAGAACACACACAUCUACACACAUACACAGACUCACUCUCUCUUUCUCUCUCUCCCUCUCUCCGUCCUCUAUCCCUCUCUCCCCCUCUCCUCUCCAGUCAUUCCAGAAUUCCCAAAUGGUACAUUUGCAGGGUAAUGUGGUGUAGCUCGUUCAGUUACUCCAGAUUGUAGUCCACGAUGUUGUUUCUGUUUAUUAUUGAAUAAUAAUAAGUAUUAUUAUCCUGAUUUUUAUUUGAAGUGUUAGGACUUUUUGGGCUCUAAUAUAGCGUUUCUCAAAUCAUACUCACUGUAACAUCUGAUUAUAUUUGUAUUAUUUAUUUUAUUCUUUAUGCAAUGUUUAAAUAUCCAAAUGUACAUAGAAAUAUACGUAUCUAUAUUUAUACAGUACGAACAUGUAUAAAUAUAGUCACCAUAUGCAGUACUGAUGUCAUAUAGGAUUAUAGUACAUGGUGUGUUCUGUUGAAUACCACACCAUACUCCAUCACCAUCCAUCUGUAGAUAUAUAACAUACAGCAUUGUUGUUUCAAAGUGGGAAUGUGUUGUUAGUAUUAUAAUUCUAGAUACUUGAUGAUUAAAUACAAACAGUACAGGUUUUGAAGUCCAGUUCUGGCACAUAAAGCUUGUAGUGCAUGAGGUUGGGUUACCAUGGCAAAGUAAACAAACUGGUACAUUCUCUGAUGGCCAGCUUCCAUCGUUAGGAUUCCUACUAUUAGGGCGCCCAGGACACAGCGUCUGUCUGUAGCAGCACAUUCAUGUGUGCCUCAAACAGCACCCUAUUCCCUACAGAGUGCACUGCUUUUGACCAGGGCCGUAUGGGCUAAUUGGCAUGCAGACAUAGCUUAGGUUUAGUUCUCUCAGAAAACCCUCCUCUGAUCUCAGCUAAUGUGUUAAUGCAUCCAGGUGCCUCAACAUGGUGGUUCCAUCUGUAGUGACUCCUCUCUGUGAGGCUGAGGUUUACUAGAGUGCACUCAACUAGGGUGACAAUGUUGUACAGUAAGUAGCACUAGAACGAUUCAAAGGUGAUUUUCAAUUGAUUCGGUUUAAAGAUGAAUUAUUUAAAUUUUUAUUGGACUCUUAGGUACAAACGUUUCUGUUGUUGUGGGAACAGACUCGCAGACAUUCAUACUGACAGUCCUACAGACACACUACAGACAGUCCUACAGACACGCUACAGACAGUCCUACAGACACGUUACAGACAGUCCUACAGACACGUUACAGACAGUCCUACAGACACACUACAGACAGUCCUACAGACACACUACAGACAGUCCUACAGACACGUUACAGACAGUCCUACAGACACGUUACAGACAGUCCUACAGACACGCUACAGACAGUCCUACAGACACGUUACAGACAGUCCUACAGACACGUUACAGACAGUCCUACAGACACACUACAGACAGUCCUACAGACACGCUACAGACAGUCCUACAGACACGUUACAGACAGUCCUACAGACACGUUACAGACAGUCCUACAGACACGUUACAGACAGUCCUACAGACAUGUUACAGACAGUCCUACAGACACGUUACAGACAGUCCUACAGACACGUUACAGACAGUCCUACAGACACGCUACAGACAGUCCUACAGACACGUUACAGACAGUCCUACAGACACGCUACAGACAGCCCUACAGACAUGCUACAGACAGUCCUACAGACACACUACAGACAGUCCUACAGACAUGCUACAGACAGUCCUACAGACACGUUACAGACACACUACAGACCUACAGACACACUACAGACAGUCCUACAGACACACUACAGACAGUCCUACAGACAUGCUACAGACAGUCCUACAGACACGCUACAGACAGUCCUACAGACACGUUACAGACAGUCCUACAGACACGUUACAGACAGUCCUACAGACACGUUACAGACAGUCCUACAGACACGCUACAGACAGUCCUACAGACACGUUACAGACAGCCCUACAGACACGCUACAGACAGUUCUACAGACACGCUACAGACAGUCCUACAGACACGUUACAGACAGUCCUACAGACGCGCUACAGACAGUCCUACAGACACGCUACAGACAGUCCUACAGACACGCUACAGCCUAAAUUCCAAUAUAUAUAAAAUAAAUGUAAAAAGUGAGCAGAGGUCCUAUUAAAUGUCUGUAGGUUACCAUGUCACCAUGUUUAUCAAAGACAAUGUGCAAUCGUAAUUACAGUCCUACAGACACACUACAGACAGUCCUACAGACACAAUACAGACAGUCCUACAGACACACUACAGACAGUCCUACAGACACGCUACAGACAGUCCUACAGACACGUUACAGACAGCCCUACAGACACGUUACAGACAGCCCUACAGACACGCUACAGACAGUCCUACAGACACGCUACAGCCUAAAUUCCAAUAUAUAUAAAAGAAAUGUAAAAAGUGAGCAGAGGUCCUAUUAAAUGUCUGUAGGUUACCAUGUCACCAUGUUUAUCAAAGACAAUGUGCAAUCGUAAUUACAGUCCUACAGACACACUACAGACAGUCCUACAGACACACUACAGACAGUCCUACAGACAUGCUACAGACAGUCCUACAGAUACGCUACAGACAGUCCUACAGACACGUUACAGACAGUCCUACAGACACGUUACAGACAGUCCUACAGACACGUUACAGACAGUCCUACAGACACGCUACAGACAGUCCUACAGACACGUUACAGACAGCCCUACAGACACGCUACAGACAGUCCUACAGACACGCUACAGCCUAAAUUCCAAUAUAUAUAAAAGAAAUGUAAAAAGUGAGCAGAGGUCCUAUUAAAUGUCUGUAGGUUACCAUGUCACCAUGUUUAUCAAAGACAAUGUGCAAUCGUAAUUACAGUCCUACAGACACACUACAGACAGUCCUACAGACACACUACAGACAGUCCUACAGACAUGCUACAGACAGUCCUACAGACACGCUACAGACAGUCCUACAGACACACUACAGACAGUCCUACAGACACACUACAGACAGUCCUACAGACACACUACAGACAGUCCUACAGACACACUACAGACAGUCCUACAGACACACUACAGACAGUCCUACAGACACGCUACAGCCUAAAUUCCAAUAUAUAUAAAAGAAAUGUAAAAAGUGAGCAGAGGUCCUAUUAAAUGUCUGUAGGUUACCAUGUCACCAUGUUUAUCAAAGACAAUGUGCAAUCGUAAUUAAAGUCCUACAGACACACUACAGACAGUCCUACAGACACACUACAGACAGUCCUACAGACACGCUACAGACAGUCCUACAGACACGCUACAGACAGUCCUACAGACACGUUACAGACAGUCCUACAGACACGUUACAGACAGUCCUACAGACACGUUACAGACAGUCCUACAGACACGUUACAGACAGUCCUACAGACACGUUACAGACAGUCCUACAGACACGCUACAGACAGUCCUACAGACACUAGCACCCCAGUAACUGCAUCUCAGCAAGCAUCACUAGUGUGAUUGAUUUAUUGAUUGAUUGAUUGAUUGAUUAGUAUGAUUGAUUAGUAUGAUUGAUUGAUUGAUUAGUAUGAUUGAUUGAUUGAUUGAGUAGUAUGAUUGAUUGAUUGAUUAGUAUGAUUGAUUAGUAUGAUUGAUUGAUUGAUUGACAGGUGUGUUUCUGAUGAUACCACUGAGCGCUGUACAGCUGAAGCCUUCUCCAGACUCACCACUCUAACUGAAGACAGUCUGUACACUAACGUGACACCACAAGACUGUGAAAGCGCACUGAGCUAAACGCCCAGGCAUUAGCCCAGGUAGAUAACACAAAUAUUGAGCUUUCUGCCGUCAAAGCGUUGCAUGCAAUCAAGUAACUGGGAGCAGUCAAUCAACAGUGUCUUCCUGUAUAAUCACCAGGUCAGACCAGGGGAGGUAGAGGAGGAGGAGGUGGUAGAGGAGGUGGUAUGAAUGUGUUCUGUUCUUACCUCUCUCUCUUCCUUGCCAGAGUCCUAUGCUAAAAUGGCACCCUAUUCCCUAAAUAGUGCACUACUAUGGGCCCUGGUCAAAUGUAGUGCUAUGGGCCCUGGUCAAAUGUAGUGCACUAUAUAGGGAAUAGGGUGCCAUUGGAACGCAUCCCCAGCAAGUCCACACUUUGGAGCUCCGGCUGCAGUCCGCUGUUAUUCUAAAUUGUAUAUUUAUCAAGGCCACCAGAGAAUUCCUCUGGGCUACAGCCAAGAGCUGGCCGGCCGCACGAGGAGGGAGAGAGAUGGAGGAGGAAAGGAGGACGAGAACUACACUCAGCGGUUCCUGAGGAGACACAAUUUCUCAAUUUCUCUCCUCGUCCUCCUCGUCCUCCUCGUCCUCCUUCUCCUCCUCCUCCUCCCCUGUUCCUUCUUCCACCUCUUCUUAUAGUUCUGAGGUGUCUGUUGGCCAGUCAUGCUAUCCUGCCCCUCUAUUUCUACUCAGAUGAUGUGACAACCUAUUGCAGUUAAUUGACUUAUCUUUGGGCACCAGGUGUGUAACUCCAUUAAGAAUGUAAAUGACUGUAACUGACAAUCUGUUCCAUACUCUGUCACUAUCUUCUCCAUUUUGUGUUCCAGGAGAAAUAGACUGACAGUGCUUCCUACUUCCUGUUUCUCAGUGUUCCAUACAGCGCAUCACUUCCUCUACACCCCCAGUUGGGCAUCAGAAUGACCUUGCAGAACGUAGUCUUGUAUGGUUUUACUUCACGUGUCUGAUAACGUGUAUACAAACAGUACUAUGAAACUCAGUACUCAUGAAAUCAAAAUCAACACAAAUGUAUCUUGUUAUCAUUAAAAGUGACUUUUUUUGUG